GCCAGCGUGGUGUAGUGGUUUGAAUGUUGGACUACAACUCUAGAGACCAGUGUUUGAUUCCCUGCUCAGCCA